GAUGAACGCUAGCUACAGGCUUAACACAUGCAAGUCGAGGGGUAGCAGGGUAGCAAUACAGCUGACGACCGGCGCACGGGUGAGUAACACGUAUCCAACCUUCCCAUUACUCGGGGAUAGCCUUUCGAAAGAAAGAUUAAUACCCGAUAGUACUUUUUCGAGGCAUCUCGUAAAAAGUUAAAGAUUUAUUGGUAAUGGAUGGGGAUGCGUUCCAUUAGAUUGUUGGUGAGGUAACGGCUCACGAAGUCUUCGAUGGAAAGGGGUUCUGAGAGGAAGGUACCUCACAUUGGUGCGACAACACCGACCAAACUCCUACGGGAGGCAGCAGUGAGGAAUAUUGGUCAAUGGUCGAGAGCAUGAACCAGCGAAGUAGCGUGAAGGAUGAAGGUCCUAUGGAUUGUAAACUUCUUUUAUAGUAGAAUAAAGUGAGCCACGUGUGGUUUUUUGUAUGUAUACUAUGAAUAAGGAUCGGCUAACUCCGUGCCAGCCGCCGCCGUAA
rnacentral:rRNA from 1 species